UACGGAGGAUGCAAGCGUUAUCCGGAAUGAUUGGGCGUAAAGCGUCCGCAGGUGGCAAUGUAAGUCUGCUGUCAAAGCGUCUGGCUCAACCAGAUAAAGGCAGUGGAGACUACAUAGCUAGAGUAAGGUAGGGGUAGAGGGAAUUCCUGGUGUAGCGGUGAAAUGCGUAGAGAUCAGGAAGAACACCGGUGGCGAAAGCGUUCUGCUAGACCUGUACUGACACUGAGGGACGAAAGCUAGGGGAGCGAAUGGG
rnacentral:rRNA from 1 species